rnacentral:rRNA from 1 species
GAUGAACGCUGGCGGCGUGCCUAAUACAUGCAAGUCGAGCGAACAGACGAGGAGCUUGCUCCUCCGACGUUAGCGGCGGACGGGUGAGUAACACGUGGAUAACCUACCUAUAAGACUGGGAUAACUUUGGGAAACCGGAGCUAAUACCGGAUAAUAUAUUGAACCGCAUGGUUCAAUAGUGAAAGACGGUUUUGCUGUCACUUAUAGAUGGAUCAGCGCCGCAUUAGCUAGUUGGUAAGGUAACGGCUUACCAAGGCAACGAUGCGUAGCCGACCUGAGGGGGUGAUCGGCCACACUGGAACUGAGACACGGUCCAGACUCCUACGAGAGGCAGCAGUAGGGAAUCUUCCGCGAUGGGCGAAAGCCUGACGGAGCAACGCCGCGUGAGUGAUGAAGGUCUUCGGAUCGUAGAACUCUGUUAUUAGGGAAGAACAAAUGUGUAAGUAACUAUGCACGUCUUGACGGUACCUAAUCAAAAAGUCACGGCUAACUACGUG